GCCUGGCUGGCUCAGUUAAGUGUGUGACUCUUGAUCUCAGGGUCAUGAGUUCAAGCCCCAUGUUAGGUG
rnacentral:tRNA from 1 species